rnacentral:tRNA from 1 species
GGCCCUGUGGUGAAGUAUUCAUGUUGAGUUGCAAGCUCAUUGACGUGCACUGAUAGUGUACCAGGGUCU